CAAUCCAUGAGUAAAGUGGCGCACGGGUGAGUAACACGUGACUAACCUACCCUUGAGUGGGGGAUAACCUAGGGAAACCUGGGCUAAUACCGCAUAAUACCUACGGGUCAAAGGAGCAAUUCGCUUAAGGAGGGGGUCGCGGCAGAUUAGUUAGUUGGCGGGGUAAUGGCCCACCAAGACGAUGAUCUGUAUCCGGCCUGAGAGGGCGCACGGACACACUGGAACUGAAACACGGUCCAG
rnacentral:rRNA from 1 species